rnacentral:rRNA from 1 species
UACGGGGGGGGCAAGCGUUGUUCGGAAUUACUGGGCGUAAAGGGCUCGUAGGCGGCCAACUAAGUCGGAUGUGAAAUCCCCGGGCUCAACCCGGGAACUGCGUCCGAUACUGGCAGGCUUGAAUCCGGGAGAGGGAUGCGGAAUUCCAGGUGUAGCGGUGAAAUGCGUAGAUAUCUGGAGGAACACCGGUGGCGAAGGCGGCAUCCUGGACCAACACUGACACUGAGGAGCGAAAGCCAGGGGAGCAAACGGG